GGUGGUGGUGGCUUAGUCGUUAGCACGUUUGCCUCACACCCACGGGGUUGGGGGUUGGAAUCCCACCUCCAUCU